rnacentral:rRNA from 1 species
CGGACGGGUGAGUAACACGUGGAUAACCUACCUAUAAGACUGGGAUAACUUCGGGAAACCGGAGCUAAUACCGGAUAAUAUAUUGAACCGCAUGGUUCAAUAGUGAAAGACGGUUUUGCUGUCACUUAUAGAUGGAUCCGCGCCGCAUUAGCUAGUUGGUAAGGUAACGGCUUACCAAGGCAACGAUGCGUAGCCGACCUGAGAGGGUGAUCGUCCACACUGGAACUGAGACACGGUCCAG